rnacentral:lncRNA from 1 species
AGGCAUACUCAUUCUACCCCUACAUCCAAGGAUUCAUCUAUCCCUUGAUUUGAAGCCCAACAAGGAAUUUUUUACCACAAAAUAGGAUUUAUUGUGGUUACCUUAAAUGCAUGGCUCGAUCUCUAGACCUAAUGCUCCAUAGGGGUCAAAGGCCUUGAUCAGAAUAGCAAACACUACCAAACAUAAAUCAGAAGAGAGAAGAGAGAGAGAGAGGAAGAAGAAAAAGUGAAGGAUAGGGUAUGCAUAUCCUACUAGGCUAGAGAGAGAAAGAGUGAGAAUUUUUAUAUAAUUUGGGAGAUAGAAGGAGAUAGGGGGGAGAG